UCGGGAAUUUUGGGCAAUGGGCGAAAGCCUGACCCAGCAACGCCGCGUGAGGGAUGAUGUAUUUCGGUAUGUAAACCUCGAAAGAAUGGGAAGAAUAAAUGACGGUACCAUUUAUAAGCUCCGGCUAACUACGUGCCAGCAGCCGCGGUAAUACGUAGGGAGCAAGCGUUGUUCGGAUUUACUGGGCGUAAAGGGCGCGUAGGCGGCGCGGUAAGUCACUUGUGAAAUCUCUGAGCUUAACUCAGAACGGCCAAGUGAUACUGCUGUGCUAGAGUGCGGAAGAGGCAACCGGAAUUCUUGGUGUAGCGGUGAAAUGCGUAGAUAGCAAGAGGAACACCUGAGGCGAAGGCGGGUUGCUAGGCUGACACUGACGCUGAGGCGCAAAAGCCAGGGGAG
rnacentral:rRNA from 1 species